AUUUAAGUGGGUUAGUAGAGUUUAGUGUUUACGGUUUAUAUCUGUGUUUAGGGUUUAGGGUUUAUAUUUGGGUUUAGAGUUUAGUGAUUAGGGUUUAGGGUUUAUAUUUGGGUUUAGGGUUUAGUGAUUAGUGUUUAGGAUUUAUAUCUGGGUUUAGGGUUUAGUGAUUAUGGUUUAGGGUUAGGGUUUAGGGUUUAUAUUUGGGUUUAAGGUUUAGUGACUAGGGUUUAGGGUUUAGUGAUUUGUGUUUAGGGUUUAUAUAUGGUUUUAGGGUUUAGUGAUUAGGGUUUAGGGUUUAUAUUUGGGUUUAUGGUUUAGUGAUUAGGGUUUAGGGUUUAGUAAUUUUCAAGCUAGAGUUUAGGGUUUAGGGUUUAUAUGUCAUGUCUUCCAAUUUGAUAUUUCUCUUCUAUGCCCUUUUGUAUGAUUGCUCGUAAUAUAAAAUUAGUUUCAUUCAAAUGUUUGGCAAGGUUAGGGUCAUGUCUAGUUCAAGAACGUCUUUUUCAACAAUAAGUAUUUUUAUUUCUUUUCGUACUAUUUUACAUAUAAUGCUCAACUAAUAUAAAUAGAACAAACAUUUGUAAACUAUUUUAUACAAUGUUCCAUAUUAUAUUUGAGUUUGGGUUUAGUGAUUCAUUUAGGGUUUAGUAUUUAAAAGUUGGAGUUAGAUUUAAGUUUAUAUUUGAGUUUAUGGUUUAUAUUUGGAUUUAGGGUUUAGUGAUUAUGAUUUAAGGUUUAGUAUUUAGAGAUUAGUUUCAGAUUAAGAUAAGUUUUAGUAUUUAGAUUUAAGGGUUGAUGUAUAAUUAAUAUUCUAUAUUAUUUUGGUGAUAUGAAGUAGAAUUAAUUAAAUGUUUGUGGUUAUAUGUAUGUGAUGUGGCUGUGUUAUCUUCAUUUUAUUAGUGACAGUUUGCAUUAAUUGUUGGUCACACUUGGAUUUUGUCAAUGAUCAUCUCCACAUCUUUAAGCCACCGACAAUU
rnacentral:lncRNA from 1 species